rnacentral:tRNA from 1 species
CAAAGUAUAGCUUAACCAAAGCCUUUCGCUUACACCGAAAAAAUGCCCCCACAGAGGCCAUUUUGA